AUUUUUUUGAGGACCCUGAACAGCUGGAAGAGUAUUUUAAGAUACCUUUCGAGGACCUGCCUUUGGCCUUUGAAGUGUCAAAAAAAAGCCCUGAAGAAACCAAAAGGUACUUCGCUGCAACCACAUCUGAGGGCUUCCAUGUAAAGAAAAACAACCAUAAACCGUCAAUAGCUGAAAAAAGACCACUCAAAAAACGACCCGCAAGAACUCCUGUUAUAGUGGUCAGCGAUUCGUCUUCUGAGGACAACACAGCCGCUAUCGGGGAUUCAAAGUCUAAAAGGCCGCGUAGAAUUUCCAGAAGUUUACGCGAUUCCACGAGUCCGAGAGUCACCCCUCCAGUCUCUAAAGCACCUCCUAUUCUGAAAACAACGCCUGUCUCACCUUCGAAAAUUAGGUAUCACAGUGUGGAUCUCUUGAAACAUGUACAUGUGACUAUAGAUCAGAUCAUUAACCGCCAUCCUGCUAUA